rnacentral:rRNA from 1 species
GCAUAAUCAAUAGGUUUUUAAUUGAAAUCUGGAAUGAAAGGUCAAGACUAAAAAGGUUGUUUUAUUUGAUUAUUUUGAAUUUAAAUUAAAAGUAAAAAUGCUUUUAUAAAUUUCUGGGACGAGAAGACCCUAGAAGCUUUACAAUUAUUAAAAAUUUUUGAUUGGGGUAAUUAAAUGAAGAUAAAAAUUUUUAUAGCUUUAUACAUAGAAUCAUAAGUAAGUUACUCUAGGGAUAACAGCAUUAUUUAAUUAACAAGUUCUUAUUAAUAAUUAAGUUUGUGACCUCGAUGUUGAAUUAAUU